rnacentral:lncRNA from 1 species
AAAAAAUCAAAACGAAAAAAUCCCUUAUCAAAUGACGAAAUCAAAAGCUGAAAAACAUCAAAAGAAUGAUAAACAGCUGUCAUAUUCUUGACUUGGUACAUACAAUACAUGUAGUAUAGUGUACUCUGCGUGGUGUAAAUGUGUUACUUGUUUGCUCAGCAAGUCGGACAAACCUUGCAAACUGUUAACCCGAAUAAUUCAGUCGUUAUAUUCCGCUUACUACAUUAAGUAAGUAGGAGAGAUCGAUUACGGGGAGGGACUGAAUUAUUCGGGUUAGCAAACUGUAUGCAAAAUUUCACAAAUUUCAACAUUCUGUCAUUUGUGAAAAAUUAUUUACAUAACAAAUCUUGAGAUCAUAUAUGCAUUCUUUAUAUAAGUAAAACAACUGCGAAAUUUAAAAGUUCCAGCUUGAAAUUCAACCUGUAUCAGAUGUAAGCCGGAGUCUGUACUCUGUG